AUUGAACGCUGGCGGCAGGCCUAACACAUGCAAGUCGAGCGGAUGAGUGGAGCUUGCUCCAUGAUUCAGCGGCGGACGGGUGAGUAAUGCCUAGGAAUCUGCCUGGUAGUGGGGGACAACGUUUCGAAAGGAACGCUAAUACCGCAUACGUCCUACGGGAGAAAGCAGGGGACCUUCGGGCCUUGCGCUAUCAGAUGAGCCUAGGUCGGAUUAGCUAGUAGGUGAGGUAAUGGCUCACCUAGGCGACGAUCCGUAACUGGUCUGAGAGGAUGAUCAGUCACACUGGAACUGAGGCACGGUUCAGACUCGUACGGGAGGCAGCAGUGGGGAAUAUUGGACAAUGGGCGAAAGCCUGAUCCAGCCAUGCCGCGUGUGUGAAGAAGGUCUUCGGAUUGUAAAGCACUUUAAGUUGGGAGGAAGGACAGUAAGUUAAUACCUUGCUGUUUUGACGUUACCAACAGAAUAAGCACCGGCUAACUUCGUGCCAGCAGCCGCAGUAACAC
rnacentral:rRNA from 1 species